rfam:Triticum aestivum genome assembly, contig: Triticum_aestivum_CS42_TGACv1_scaffold_514267_6BS
CUAGUACUCCCUCCGUCCCAAAAUUCUUGUCUUAUAGGAGUAUUUGUCUAAAUACAGAUGUAUCAAGUCACGUUUUAGUAUUAGAUACAUCUGUAUCUAGGCAAUUUUAAGACAAGAAUUUUGGGACGGAGGGAGUAUUUU